UACGUAGGGGGCAAGCGUUGUCCGGAUUUAUUGGGCGUAAAGAGCGUGUAGGCGGCUAGAUAGGUCCGUUGUGAAAACUCGAGGCUCAACCUCGAGACGUCGAUGGAAACCAUCUAGCUAGAGUCCGGAAGAGGAGAGUGGAAUUCCUGGUGUAGCGGUGAAAUGCGCAGAUAUCAGGAAGAACACCCGUGGCGAAGGCGGCUCUCUGGGACGUGACUGACGCUGAGACGCGAAAGCGUGGGGAGCGAACAGG
rnacentral:rRNA from 1 species